CAGGAACAAACUUAUGCAGUCAAUUGUUAUAAAAUCAAAUUUUAUCUAACACUCAGACAACAAAAAAAUCGUACACCAUCGGUCAGGUUUUCUAAAAAAUGAAACUUGACCGAUUGUAAAAUUGUGAAACUGAACAAAAUUCAUGACUGAUAGACGGAUAAAAACAUAGGAAUUGAAAAAGUAAGAAGCAAAAGAACAACAAUUAAACUAAAGCAAGAUUUUAAGAUAAAAAUAGGUUAAUCACUUACUUACCGGGGAUAAGUAUGAUUUGGUAGUUCACAUUCGUGCAGAAAAUGAUCGGUUUAAUAGCUUUUGUGAACGCAAUACGACUCUUUCAAUGAUCCGUAUACUAAAUUGAAUUAAAAUGUGUUUAUUUUUGUCUGGAC
rnacentral:lncRNA from 1 species